rnacentral:rRNA from 1 species
GACGAACGCUGGCGGCGUGCUUAACACAUGCAAGUCGAACGAUGAAGAAAAGAAUCGAAGCUUCGGCAGAAAUUCAUUUCGGAUUAGUGGCAGACGGGUGAGUAACGCGUGAGCAACCUACCUCUUACAAAGGGAUAGCCUCGGGAAACCGGGAUUAAUACCAUAUAACAUUGCGACGAAGCAUUUCGAUGCAAUCAAAGCUACGGCGGUAAGAGAUGGGCUCGCGUCGCAUUAACCGGAUGGUGAGGUAACGGCUCACCAUAGUGACGAUGGGUAACCGGCCUGAGAGGGUGAACGGUCACACUGGAACUGAGACACGGUCCAGACUCCUACGGGAGGCAGCAGUGGGGAAUAUUGCACAAUGGAGGGAACUCUGAUGCAGCGACGCCGCGUGAGUGAUGAAGGAAUUCGUUACGUAAAACUCUGUUCUAUGGGAAGAAAAGGACUGUACCAUAGGAGAAAGCUCCGGCUAAAUACGUG